rnacentral:rRNA from 1 species
GAGUUUGAUCCUGGCUCAGGAUGAACGCUGGCGGCGUGCUUAAGACAUGCAAGUCGAACGCAGCCGCUCCGCAAGGGGUGGCUGAGUGGCGAAUGGGUGCGUAACACGUAGGUGACCUGCCCGGAAGUGGGGAAUAACAGUCCGAAAGGACUGCUAAUACCGCAUGCGGUGCACGGGUUUUGAAGCCGUGCUCCAAAGGUACGAGCAAUCGUGCCGCUUUCGGAGGGGCCUGCGGCCCAUCAGCUAGUUGGCAGGGUAAUGGCCUACCAAGGCGACGACGGGUAGGGGACCUGAGAGGGUGACCCCCCACACUGGCACUGACACACGGGCCAGACUCCUACGGGAGGCAGCAGUCGGGAAUAUUGCCCAAUGGACGAAAGUCUGAGGCAGCAACGCCGCGUGCGCGAUGAAGGCCUUCGGGUCGUAAAGCGCUUUUCGGGUGGAUGAGAGCGGACAGUACACCCGGAAUCAGGUACGGCUAACUACGUGCCAGCAGGCGCGGUAAAACGUAGGUACCGAGCGUUAUCCGGAUUUACUGGGCGUAAAGCGCGUUCAGGCGGUUGGGCAAGUCGGGCAUGAAAUCUCUCGGCUCAACCGGGAGAGGUUGUCCGAUACUGCCGGACUGGAGGGCAGUAGAGGGUGGUGGAAUUCCGGGUGUAGUGGUGAAAUGCGUAGAGAUCCGGAGGAACACCAGUGGCGAAAGCGGCCACCUGGACUGCACCUGACGCUGAAACGCGAAAGCUAGGGGAGCGAACGGGAUUAGAAACCCCGGUAGUCCUAGCUAUAAACGAUGUUGACUAGGUGUUGGCGGUCUAAACCCCGUCAGUGCCGCAGCAAACGCAUUAAGUCAACCGCCUGGGGACUACGGCCGCAAGGUUAAAACUCAAAGGAAUUGACGGGGACCCGCACAAGCAGCGGAGCGUGUGGUUUAAUUCGUCGAAACGCGAAGAACCUUACCAGGGCUUGACAUGCACCGGAAAGCGGCGGAAACGUCGUCCUCCCGCAAGGGAUCGGUGUGCAGGUGUUGCAUGGCUGUCGUCAGCUCGUGUCGUGAGAUGUUGGGUUAAGUCCCGCAACGAGCGCAACCCCCGUGGCAUGUUGUAUCACUCAUGCCAGACUGCCGAGAGAAACUCGGAGGAAGGCGGGGAUGACGUCAAGUCAGCAUGGCCCUUACGUCCUGGGCUACACACACGCUACAAUGGCCGGUACAACGGGUUGCCAAACCGCGAGGUGGAGCUAAUCCCUUAAAGCCGGUCUCAGUUCGGAUUGCAGGCUGCAACUCGCCUGCAUGAAGCCGGAGUUGCUAGUAACCGCAGGUCAGCACACUGCGGUGAAUAUGUUCCCGGGCCUUGCACACAC